UACACUUAUCAAAGUGUUGCAGAGACUUGUGAAAUGUAAAAUGUGAAAAUAAGUACAUUUAUAUUGGAUGGUUUGGUUAGUGUGGCAGAAUAACAUGUCAGUUUUGUUAUUUCAUCUUGGUAGAGAACUUGAGUUUCUGAAUGAAGUGAGGUGUUUUUGCCUUGAAGAAAUGACUGCCUACUCCUGCAAAUCCUGCUGCUGCAGCUCUCAGCCACCCGUGAUGCUGGCAGUUCGUUAUCUAGCCUUUAAGAAAACAACUUGGCAAAGAGUACCCACACAGCCAAUGUCAAGGCUGUUGGGACACAAGCCAUUCUAUCAGAAUAGAAGUUUUUCAUUUGUGAAGUUCUCUCAUCCCUUUAGUAUUCUUCAAUUACAGAUCCAUCAAAAAAAAGAAAGGAUGAAAAUGGUAAAUUUGACCACGAAGUAACAGAGGCAGCUAUGAAAGACCAAGAGGGAAGCAAUGGUAACAGAAUUUAUUAUAUAGACGUUGCAUUUUGGAACCAAUGAACUCACACCUGGACUCUGACAGAGACACGGUGGACUAGAGGUUUAAGUGAAGCACUGACCAGGGGGGCCACCGUGGAGUGCCAAAGCUGGACUGCUACAUUAUUACUACUUUUUUAAAACGGCCCUUGUAAAUACUUUUUCUCUACUGCAACGGAUUUGUAAAAAAAAAAAAGAAAAAAGAAAAAAAAAAUCAUUUUUGAGGGUGAGUUUUGUUACAUUUAUAAUAGGAGGACCUUGAUGUUUUCCCUUAAUAUUUACAAAGGAAUGUUAAACAUUUUUUUUUGUGUGAGAACAGUUAAGCCAGGUACCAGCUGGUAAAUUUUUGAUAGUUGAAUCCAAGAGACUACAUUUUGGUCCUUACCAUUUUAAUGGCACUUACUCUUUCAAGAUUAUAAAGACUUUUGGUGCUCUUCUGAAAACAUCUCAUCCCUCAGACAAGGACAGUUUAAUGGGCUUUUCUUUGGAUGGCAGAACCAUCUUCUUCAAUCUCAUUUUGGCCAAGAGUACAGAGACAGCCUGGACAUAAUCAAACAAUAAUGCACAGUUCAUGUUUUUUUGUAGUCAUAGAUUCAUUUUUGCAAUAUUAUUGUCGCAUCAAAAUGGUCUUUAUCGUGUUGACUUCCUCUGGUAUCCAAGGCAGAGUUCCGUUUUUGUUGAAGAGCUGUUCUGAACAGCUUUUUAUUUUUUUUCUGCCGCUGCUCUAGUGUCAUGUUCAGACAUGUAUCAGGAAUACUGUAAUGCUAUCAAGAAUCCUGCUUGCUCUUUUUAAAACCAGUCUGCUGUAAUUCAAUAAAACACAUCCAA